UUACGGCCACAUCGCGUUGAAACACCGGUUUUUGUAUGAUCCCGAAGUUAAGCAACAUCGAGCUUGGUCAGUAUCUAGAUGGGCGAACGCUUGGGAAUAUCAGGUGCUGUAAG